UGGGGAAUUUUGGACAAUGGGCGCAAGCCUGAUCCAGCCAUGCCGCGUGCGGGAAGAAGGCCUUCGGGUUGUAAACCGCUUUUGCCAGGGAAGAAAUCUUCUGAGUUAAUACCUCGGGAGGAUGACGGUACCUGAAGAAUAAGCACCGGCUAACUACGUGCCAGCAGCCGCGGUAAUACGUAGGGUGCAAGCGUUAAUCGGAAUUACUGGGCGUAAAGCGUGCGCAGGCGGUUUUGUAAGACAGAGGUGAAAUCCCCGGGCUCAACCUGGGAACUGCCUUUGUGACUGCAAGGCUUGAGUGCGGCAGAGGGGGAUGGAAUUCCGCGUGUAGCAGUGAAAUGCGUAGAUAUGCGGAGGAACACCGAUGGCGAAGGCAAUCCCCUGGGCCUGCACUGACGCUCAUGCACGAAAGCGUGGGGAGCAAACAGGAUUAGAUACCCUGGUAGUCCACGCCCUAAACGAUGUCAACUGGUUGUUGGGAAGGUUCCUUCUCAGUAACGUAGCUAACGCGUGAAGUUGACCNCCUGGGGAGUACGGCCGCAAGGUUGAAACUCAAAUGAAUUGAC
rnacentral:rRNA from 1 species